rnacentral:rRNA from 1 species
GUCCACGCCGUAAACGAUGGGUGCUAGACGUUGGCUAGCUUGCUCGUCAGUGUCGCAGCUAACGCGUUAAGCACCCCGCCUGGGGAGUACGGCCGCAAGGUUGAAACUCAAAGGAAUUGACGGGGGCCCGCACAAGCGGUGGAGCAUGUGGUUCAAUUCGACGCAACGCGCAGAACCUUACCAGCCCUUGACAUGUGACUCGCCGGUACCAGAGAUGGUACCUUCGGUUCGGCCGGAGUCAGCACAGGUGCUGCAUGGCUGUCGU